UACAGAGGUCCCAAGCGUUGUUCGGAUUCACUGGGCGUAAAGGGUGCGUAGGCGGUCGGGGUAAGUCUGAUGUGAAAUCUCCAAGCCUAACUUGGAAACUGCAUUGGAUACUAUCCGGCUAGAGGAAUGGAGGGGAGACUGGAAUACUUGGUGUAGCAGUGAAAUGCGUAGAUAUCAAGUGGAACACCAGUGGCGAAGGCGAGUCUCUGGACAUUUCCUGACGCUGAGGCACGAAAGCCAGGGGAGCAAACGGG
rnacentral:rRNA from 1 species